rnacentral:rRNA from 1 species
GGCCCAGACUCCUACGGGAGGCAGCAGUGGGGGAUAUUGCACAAUGGGGGGAACCCUGAUGCAGCGACGCCGCGUGGGUGAAGGAGCGUUUCGGCGCGUAAAGCCCUAUCGGCAGGGAAGAAGGAAGACGGUACCUGACCAAGAAGCCCCGGCUAACUACGUGCCAGCAGCCGCGGUAAUACGUAGGGGGCAAGCGUUAUCCGGAUUUACUGGGUGUAAAGGGGGCGCAGACGGCAAUGCAAGCCAGGAGGGAAAGCCCGGGGCCCAACCCCGGGACUGCUCUUGGAACUGCAUGGCUGGAGUACAGGAGGGGCAGGCGGAAUUCCUAGUGUAGCGGUGAAAUGCGUAGAUAUUAGGAGGAACACCAGUGGCGAAGGCGGCCUACUGGACGGUGACUGACGCUGAGGCUCGAAAGCGUGGGGAGCAAACAGGAUUAGAUACCCCUGUA